AGGACGAACGCUGGCGGCGUGCUUAACACAUGCAAGUCGAGCGGUAAGGCUCCUUCGGGAGUACACGAGCGGCGAACGGGUGAGUAACACGUGAGCAAUCUGCCCUUCACUUCGGGAUAACUCCGGGAAACCGGUGCUAAUACCGAAUACGACCACUUCAGGCAUCUGAUGGUGGUGGAAAGUUCCGGCGGUGAAGGAUGAGCUCGCGGCCUAUCAGCUUGUGGUGGGUAAUGGCCUACCAAGGCGACGACGGGUA
rnacentral:rRNA from 1 species